AACGAACGCUGGCGGCAUGCCUAACACAUGCAAGUCGAACGAGACCUUCGGGUCUAGUGGCGCCCGGGUGCGUAACGCGUGGGAACCUGCCCUUAGGUUCGGAAUAACUCCCCGAAAGGGGUGCUAAUACCGGCUAAUGUCUUCGGACCAAAGAUUUAUCGCCUUUGGAUGGGCCCGCGUUGGAUUAGCUAGUUGGUAGGGUAAAAGCCUACCAAGGCGACGAUCCAUAGCUGGUCUGAGAGGAUGAUCAGCCACACUGGGACUGAGACACGGCCCAGACUCCUACGGGAGGCAGCAGUGGGGAAUAUUGGACAAUGGGCGAAAGCCUGAUCCAGCAAUGCCGCGUGAGUGAUGAAGGCCUUAGGGUUGUAAAGCUCUUUUACCCGGGAUGAUAAUGACAGUACCGGGAGAAUAAGCUCCGGCUAACUCCGUG
rnacentral:rRNA from 1 species